GAUGAACGCUGGCGGCGUGCCUAAUACAUGCAAGUCGAGCGAAUGGAUUAAGAGCUUGCUCUUAUGAAGUUAGCGGCGGACGGGUGAGUAACACGUGGGUAACCUGCCCAUAAGACUGGGAUAACUCCGGGAAACCGGGGCUAAUACCGGAUAACAUUUUGAACCGCAUGGUUCGAACUUGAAAGGCGGCUACGGCUGUCACUUAUGGAUGGACCCGCGUCGCAUUAGCUAGUUGGUGAGGUAACGGCUCACCAAGGCAACGAUGCGUAGCCGACCUGAGAGGGUGAUCGGCCACACUGGGACUGAGACACGGCCCAGACUCCUACGGGAGGCAGCAGUAGGGAAUCUUCCGCAAUGGACGAAAGUCUGACGGAGCAACGCCGCGUGAGUGAUGAAGGCUUUCGGGUCGUAAAACUCUGUUGUUAGGGAAGAACAAGUGCUAGUUGAAUAAGCUGACACCUUGACGGUACCUAACCAGAAAGCCACGGCUAACUACGUGCCAGCCGCCGCGGUAA
rnacentral:rRNA from 1 species